CACGUAGGGCGCAAGCGUUGUCCGGAAUUAUUGGGCGUAAAGAGCUCGUAGGCGGACUGUCACGUCUGCUGUGAAAAGCUGGGGCUUAACCCUGGCCUUGCAGUGGAUACGGGCAGACUAGAGGUAGGUAGGGGAGAAUGGAAUUCCCGGUGUAGCGGUGAAAUGCGCAGAUAUCAGGAGGAACACCGGUGGCGAAGGCGGGUCUCUGGGCCGAUACUGACGCUGAGGAGCGAAAGCGUGGGGAGCGAACAGG
rnacentral:rRNA from 1 species